AAGCCAUGAUUGGGACACUUCCUCAAUAAAGCUUUGAAUCUUUCCCAGGCUUCACACAGUGGUUCAUCUACUCCUUGGACAAAAGUAGCAAUUGCAGCCUUUAUCUCUGUGCUU
rfam:Vigna radiata var. radiata cultivar VC1973A scaffold_1218, whole genome shotgun sequence